GGAACUUAAAGGGUUCGAAAACAUGGGAGGUGAAAUGUCACUCAAGUGAAUUAAGAGAGUUCAACUAUCCCAGACCAGCGUGAGUGACUGAACUGGAGGCCAUGGCAGCUGCAGAGAUCACAGGAAACCCGAUUCCCAGCUCCUUCCGAUGAUGUUUUUUUCCUUCAUCUUUACUGUUGUACCAUUGUCUUCCCUCUGGAUGUGCUUCCCGCUUCCUCUAACACAGGCUGCCAGCCACAUGUUGGUUUCUCUUCUGUCUGAUGAGAACAAUGGGAUUGUGUUUGAGCACAUCCGGGUAAUCUAAGAUAAUGUUCGUAACUUUGGAGCCAACAAUGUAUCACACCUGCCUCCCUGUUAUUUAUGUCCAUAGCUAUAGGUUUCAGAGUUCAGGGUCCAAUAAAUUUAGGAGACACUUUUU
rnacentral:lncRNA from 1 species